AUUGAACGCUGGCGGCAUGCCUUACACAUGCAAGUCGAACGGCAGCACGGGAGCAAAUCCUGGUGGCGAGUGGCGAACGGGUGAGUAAUAUAUCGGAACGUGCCCAGUCGUGGGGGAUAACGUAGCGAAAGCUACGCUAAUACCGCAUACUAUCUAUGGAUGAAAGCGGGGGGAUCGCAAGACCUCGCGCGAUUGGAGCGGCCGAUAUCAGAUUAGGUAGUUGGUGAGGUAAAGGCUCACCAAGCCGACGAUCUGUAGCUGGUCUGAGAGGACGACCAGCCACACUGGGACUGAGACACGGCCCAGACUCCUACGGGAGGCAGCAGUGGGGGAAUUUUUGGACAAUGGGCGCAAGCCUGAUCCAGCAAUGCCGCGUGCAGGAUGAAGGCC
rnacentral:rRNA from 1 species